UACGAAGGGGGCUAGCGUUGUUCGGAAUCACUGGGCGUAAAGGGCGCGUAGGCGGCCAUUUAAGUCAGGGGUGAAAGCCUGUGGCUCAACCACAGAAUUGCCUUUGAUACUGUUUGGCUAGAGACCGGAAGAGGUAAGUGGAACUGCGAGUGUAGAGGUGAAAUUCGUAGAUAUUCGCAAGAACACCAGUGGCGAAGGCGGCUUACUGGUCCGGUUCUGACGCUGAGGCGCGAAAGCGUGGGGAGCAAACAGG
rnacentral:rRNA from 1 species